rnacentral:rRNA from 1 species
AUUGAACGCUGGCGGCAGGCUUAACACAUGCACGUCGAGCGGAUCGGCGGCCGGGUGCGUAAUGCCUAUGUAUCUGCAUGGUAGUGGGGGAUGACGUACGGAAACGGGCGCUAAUACCGAAUACUAUCAGAUGAGCCUAGGUCGGAUUGGCUAGUGGGUGGGGUAAAGGCCGACCAAGGCGAAGAUCCGUAACUGGUCUGAGAGGAUGAUCAGUAAAACUGGAACUGAGACACGGUCCAGACUCCUACGGGAGGCAGCAGGGGGGAAUAGUGGACAAUGGGCGAAAGCCUGAUCCAGCCAUGCCGCGUGUGUGAAGAAGGUCUUCGGAUUGUAAAGCACUUGAAGUGGGGAGGCGUUACCAGCAGAAUAAGCACCGGCUAACUUCGUGCCAGCAGCCGCGGUAAUAC